rnacentral:rRNA from 1 species
GACGAACCGUGCGAACGUUGUUCGGAAUCACUGGGCUUAAAGGGCGCGUAGGCGGGCCAUCAAGUCUGGGGUGAAAUCCUUCGGCUUAACCGGAGAAUUGCCUGAGAUACUGGUGGUCUUGAGGGAGGUAGGGGCACGCGGAACUUCCGGUGGAGCGGUGAAAUGCGUUGAUAUCGGAAGGAACGCCGGUGGCGAAAGCGGCGUGCUGGCCCUCUUCUGACGCUGAGGCGCGAAAGCCAGGGGAGCGAACGGG